GAUGAACGCUGGCGGCGUGCUUAACACAUGCAAGUCGAACGAACCUUCGGGUUAGUGGCGGACGGGUGAGUAACACUUAGGAAUCUACCUAGUAGUGGGGGAUAGCUCGGGGAAACUCGAAUUAAUACCGCAUACGACCUACGGGAGAAAGGGGGCAGUUUACUGCUCUCGCUAUUAGAUGAGCCUAAGUCGGAUUAGCUAGAUGGUGGGGUAAAGGCCUACCAUGGCGACGAUCUGUAGCUGGUCUGAGAGGAUGAUCAGCCACACCGGGACUGAGACACGGCCCGGACUCCUACGGGAGGCAGCAGUGGGAAUAUUGGACAAUGGGGGAAACCCUGAUCCAGCCAUGCCGCGUGUGUGAAGAAGGCCUUUUGGUUGUAAAGCACUUUAAGCAGUGAAGAAGACCUAACGGUUAAUACCCGUUAGCGAUGACAUUAGCUGCAGAAUAAGCACCGGCUAACUCUGUGCCAGCCGCCGCGGUAACAC
rnacentral:rRNA from 1 species